GGCUCAGGACGAACGCUGGCGGCGUGCUUAACACAUGCAAGUCGAACGGUGAUGUCAGAGCUUGCUCUGGCGGAUCAGUGGCGAACGGGUGAGUAACACGUGAGUAACCUGCCCCCGACUCUGGGAUAACUGCUAGAAAUGGUAGCUAAUACCGGAUAUGACGAUUGGCCGCAUGGUCUGGUCGUGGAAAGAAUUUCGGUUGGGGAUGGACUCGCGGCCUAUCAGGUUGUUGGUGAGGUAAUGGCUCACCAAGCCUACGACGGGUAGCCGGCCUGAGAGGGUGACCGGCCACACUGGGACUGAGACACGGCCCAGACUCCUACGGGAGGCAGCAGUGGGGAAUAUUGCACAAUGGGCGAAAGCCUGAUGCAGCAACGCCGCGUGAGGGAUGACGGCCUUCGGGUUGUAAACCUCUUUUAGUAGGGAAGAAGCGAAAGUGAC
rnacentral:rRNA from 2 species